rnacentral:rRNA from 1 species
GAUGAACGCUGACAGAAUGCUUAACACAUCAGCAAUUGAUUGGUGGCGGACGGGUGAGUAACGCGUCAAGAACUUGCCUCACAGCUAGGGACAACAUUUGGAAACGAAUGCUAAUACCUAAUACUGUGAGAGAGCUUUGCGUCGCAUUAGCUAGUUGGAGAGGUAACGGCUCACCAAGGCGAUGAUGGGUAGCCGGCCUGAGAGGGUGAUCGGCCAAAAGGGGACGUGGAGACGGCCGUUACGCCUACGGUAGGUAGCAGUGGGGAAUAUUAGACACUGGCGCAAAGUCGGACCAAGCAAUUGAGUGUGCACGAUGAAGUUUUCGGAAUGUAAAGUGCUUUCAGUUGGGAAGCGGUACGAACAGAAGAAGUGACGGCAAAAUUCGUGACAGCAGCCGCGGUAAUAC